ACUGCCAGAAGCUUCCCCUGUGUCCAGUGGAUUCAAUGAUGGUGGGCUCUAAGGCUCUAAGGCAAGGGCAAGUCCUUGGAGUUAGCGCCUCGGGGAUAACAUAGUUAAGAAGAGGGAAAAGUUACUGACAACAGCAAUUGCAGCCAGAGAAAGGAGUGAGAAUAUAUGAGGGAAACAGCCCUGCAGACCCUAAGGACAGUGAAGAAAAAACCAAACAAACAAAACAUAAAAGAUCUGUUGCUUUGAAUACAAGAAGCACUGUUUCUCUGCAAGUGUUUUCUACAAGGGAAAGUUGCAAGGGCAGCAUUUGUGAGCUUUAAAUGAUGAGUGCAGAACUGCCUAUCUUCCCCAAUCAAUGAUUCUUUCAGUGAAUAUGAUCAUGAAGGAAACUGAAUUCCUAUCUAAUUGGUGCAUGCAUUGACUCUUAGAAGUUAACGGUAACCCAGGCAGAAUCAAAAGCAACUUCUGCUGGUUUUUGGUGGGCUUUAUGAAGGAAGCUGGAGGCAGUUCUCAUUAGUCUCACUGACAUCUUUUAUCACUUAUCAGAGGAACAAGCAAACGGAGAGCAAUUCCUUUGAUCAUGGCAAAAGUAGAAAGAGUAUUAAAAACCCUAUGAAGAUUCACUAAGUAGAAAGUAGAAAAGACAGUCUGUGGCAUGUUUCAAAGAAGUAACAUGAUUUAAAGUUGCCAGAUUUACUGGUAUAUAUUAAAGAAUUGUUAAUGAUGCUACAUUUCACAUGCAUCCUUAGGUCCUU